UACGGAGGGUGCAAGCGUUGUUCGGAAUCACUGGGCGUAAAGCGCGUGUAGGCGGCCUGCUAAGUCUGAUGUGAAAGCCCGAGGCUCACCCUCGGAAGUGCAUUGGAAACUGGCAGACUGGAGUCCCGGAGGGGAGGGUGGAAUUCCUGGUGUAGCGGUGAAAUGCGCAGAUAUCAGGAGGAACACCGGUGGCGAAGGCGGCCCUCUGGACGGUGACUGACGCUGAGACGCGAAAGCGUGGGGAGCAAACAGG
rnacentral:rRNA from 1 species